rnacentral:rRNA from 1 species
GACGAACGCUGGCGGCGUGCUUAACACAUGCAAGUCGAACGGAAAGGCCCGGCUUUUGUGGGGUGCUCGAGUGGCGAACGGGUGAGUAACACGUGAGUAAACCGCCCUUUACUGUGGGAUAACUUCAGGAAACUGGGGCUAAUACCCGAUAGGAGCUUCUGCUGCACGGUGGGGGUUGGAAAGUUUCGGUGGUUGGGGAUGGACUCGCGGCUUAUCCGCUUGUUGGUGGGGUAGUGGCUUACCACGGUUUCGACGGGUAGCCGGCCUGGGAGGGUGAACGGCGUCCUUAGUCCUAAGAUACGGACCAGUAUGCUACGGGACGCAACAGUGGGAAGUCUUACACAAUGAGGCGAAGCGUGAGACAACAGCCCCCCGAGCGGAAUACUGUCCUUUGGGUUGUGAACAGAUUUCGAAGGUAAUGUGCAGUGAGUGACGGUAAUGGGUAAGAAAGCCCCGGCUAACUACGUG